AGGAACAUAAAACGACUAGAGAACUGAAGUGAUAUUUAUUUUAUCGAUUCCCAGAAGGAUAAAAAGCAAAGAUGACCUCAGCGGAUUUUGAACUCAGAGAGUACAAAAGAGCUGUAACUAAAAACCAGCAGGCAUUUUCUCUGUUGUACAAACGAUUCUACCAAUCCACCGCCAAAGAGUUCAAACAGUGGGAUAAAUUGAAAUCUUUUCAUAAGAGAUUUCCACAUGUUGCUUAUUGAAGAAUUCUCAGAUGUUUGUUUAGAAACGAAGCUGAGACUUGUGCACACCGAACGGAAACUAACAAAGACAUCUAUAGACAUACAUAAGUAAUCAAUAAGAAAAAAAAAUUCAAUAUACAAAAGCUAAGAACAUUUGUACGUCUAUGUAUGCAUGCGCGUGUGUAGGUGUGUAUAUGUAUACGUAUGUGUAUGUUUGGCUGCUAUUUUCUUUUCCUUUCUUUUCUCUCUCGUUAGUGAGAGCUAACCCUUAUGUUAUCCAUAUCUACGACGAUCGUUACAUUUACUAAGAAGCCAAAUUAGUGUUCUAGGUUUAUAUCUCUAACGUCAGUGAGGGCGCGUAAUGAUGUAAGAAGAGACAUUCAACUGGUUUAUUCAACAAAAGUUCAGAUAAUUUAAGAAAACUAGUGCCAAAGAUGCCAUUUUCAACAUCGUUGACGUUGAAACAACUUCUCGCCUUCAUACAAAAAAAAAAAGACAAACGGAUGAAAUAUAUUUGUACAGCUUUGAGGAAGAAUGAAAAUAAAUCAAUAGGAAAAUGUUUGUAGUAUUGGUUCUAUUAAACCUCAUCGUAUUACCUUUAAUUUUUUACGUUGUACUAAGCUUGCUUUUGGAUACACUUAUAGCUACAACCUCCCUGUUAGUGUUCUUAGGUAUGAUAGCAGCAAAUAUCAUAAUGAUCCAAUCUUCGAACUAUAUCUACAAACUAAUCGUUACAGUUGUAUAUUACAUUCUAGCGUUUAUUUUCCUUGAAUAAAACUUCUGUUUAUGUUAUCUUUUA